rnacentral:lncRNA from 1 species
AGGAUAAAUAUCAGGAAAUAAGAGCAAGCAAAAAACAAAACACGAAUAGAAACUACCCUUAUCCUGAGGGUGCGCCGAGCUCAGGCCGACGUUAACUAGAGCGUCCUCGCUCACAAGGUCGUUUAGCAGAAUGUCCUCCUCGAGGCCGCUAAGGGCAUCGAGGAUCUUCUGCUCGCCCUUGACAGGAUGGGGAGCUUGUUGACGGCCUUGAGCCGGGCCUGCUCCCACUGAGGAUUGAACCCCCAUGUUCGCUCGGAAGACAAAAAGAAAAAUUUCUUUUUCCAUUCGUGGAUGGAUGGAGCCCCCCAGAAAAGCGACCGAGCAUCCCGAAGGGCAAGGUAAAGCCACUCUCCGUCACCUGGGUUGGACUUCGAUAAGAAGUACCACCGAAAAACAUUGACGGAUGUCGGCAUCCCGUGCAAAAGGCACAAGGAUAAAAAACCGACUAUAGUUCUCCACGCGUUCGGAAUGAGUUGCGCCGG